UCAGACGCUGUAUUUCUAGAAAAUUAAUUUCGAUUUUAUAUUUGUUCUUAAAGGUAGUGCAAUAAGAAGCACUCACUCUCCUCUAGAUUGGGAUUAACCGCAUGCAGCGCACUGCCAUUGAAGAAGCAUGCCAAGGCUACGGCCAUGAAGUGGGUGGUAUUCCGUGCAACCACACCAACAAUAUCACGUUGCGUCAAAUUCAGCUUACGAAAAUUUUCAGCGACACGAAUGGCCUGCAGCAAAGCUUCUUCGUAGGUUAAGCUAGUCUGUUCAGUAUCGGAUAUCUGACAGGGUUAUAAGGAUUUAACAAAAUUUUUACACAGCUGCAGCUUAAACUUUUAAGCACUUACUUGACAAAUACUGUGAGGACAACGGCGCAUUUGCUCGAAGAGUAUGCGACCCACAGAUGCGUUGCGAUCGUAGAAGUCAUAGAACUUCGGACCCAGCCAUUCCUUAGAAUCGGCGUCGUAUGUUGCACCUAUGCUUGUAUCUAUUUCGAACAUUUCUAGUUCUAAGUUUAAACACACAAUCAC